rnacentral:rRNA from 1 species
UACAGAGGUCCCAAGCGUUGUUCGGAUUCACUGGGCGUAAAGGGUGCGUAGGUGGUCAGGUAAGUCUGAUGUGAAAGCUCUGGGCUCAACCCAGAAAUGGCAUUGGAUACUAUCUGGCUUGAGGAAUGGAGGGGGGACUGGAAUACUUGGUGUAGCAGUGAAAUGCGUAGAUAUCAAGUGGAACACCAGUGGCGAAGGCGAGUCCCUGGACAUUACCUGACACUGAGGCACGAAAGCUAGGGGAGCAAACAGG